rnacentral:piRNA from 1 species
UGAAUGUCAAGAGAAGAACGGCUGCCCC